rnacentral:tRNA from 1 species
UGGGGAGUAGCCAAGCUGGCAAGGCACUGGGUUUUGGCCCCAGCAUCCGCAGGUUCGAAUCCUGCCUCCCCAG